GCCAUAAACCUUGACAUACUCUUAUGUCCGCCAGAGAACUACAAGUGAAAAACUUAAAACUCAAAGGACUUGACGGUGUCCCACACCUACCUAGAGGAGCCUGUCCUAUAAUCGAUACCCCACGAAGCACCUUACCUUUCCUAGCACGAUCAGCCUAUAUACCGCCGUCGUCAGCCUACCUUAUGAAAGUCACCAAGUAGACGAAAUCAUCAACCAUAAAAACGUCAGGUCAAGGUGUAGCACAUGGAAAGGAAAGAGAUGGGCUACAUUUUCUAGCAAGGAAAAACUAACAGCAAAAUGAAAAAAUGCUCUACGGUGGAUUUAGCAGUAAGCUGAGUAAGCAAGCCCAG
rnacentral:rRNA from 1 species